GAUGAACGCUGGCGGCGUGCUUAACACAUGCCAGUCGAACGGAAAGGCCAGUGCUUGCACUGGUACUCGAGUGGCGAACGGGUGAGUAACACGUGGGUGAUCUGCCCUGUACUUCGGGAUAAGCUUGGGAAACUGGGUCUAAUACCGGAUAGGACAACUUUUUGGAUAUUGUUGUGGAAAGCUUUUGCGGUAUGGGAUGAGCUCGCGGCCUAUCAGCUUGUUGGUGGGGUAAUGGCCUACCAAGGCGUCGACGGGUAGCCGGCCUGAGAGGGUGUACGGCCACAUUGGGACUGAGAUACGGCCCAGACUCCUACGGGAGGCAGCAGUGGGGAAUAUUGCACAAUGGGCGCAAGCCUGAUGCAGCGACGCCGCGUGGGGGAUGAAGGCCUUCGGGUUGUAAACUCCUUUCGCUAGGGACGAAGCUUUUUUGUGACGGUACCUGGAGAAGAAGCACCGGCUAACUACGUG
rnacentral:rRNA from 1 species